ensembl:lncRNA
GCUUAGAGGGGCUGGACACUGGAUCCCAGUCAGACACAGCGACAGCCAACAGAAGGGAAACAUGGCCUCCGCUUAUGGCAGUUCAUCACCAAAUGAUUCGCUGCAUUUAUUCAAAGAUCUCCUGCUCGUGUCGUGGAUCUUCACGGACCCUCAGACAUCCAGCUGGUAGCGCCUGAACCAACCAUGUGGAGGGAAAAACAUCCACCUGCUACUGUCUGCACCCUCGUCACCACGUCUGUCCACUGGGAGGACGGAGAGUUGGAUGUUUUGGAGCAGCUCCGUCUGAACGCUGCCAGGUCCGGCUGCCUGGACGGGUGGAGGCUGGAGGACAGAAAUAACCUCUUGGGUUGGGCUCUGCUGCGUUCCUCGAACGCUGACGACACCACAUAGUUUCACUGAGCGGGAAGUGACAUGUUGGAGAUUCCUCAGAGGAAGUGUGUGUGAUGCAGGUUUAACUGUAUCUGUGAGGAGAUCACUAUUCCUGGUGGUUUUAGGGGGG